CCCUUUUGGCUUCGACAGAGUCUGGGUCACUGCCUGGAGUCCCAAGAAGCCACGGUGCCCCGCUGGAGUUGUGCACAGAUGGUUGACAUCUCAAUAGCAGCUGGGCAGAACAGAAAUUUUGUCAUCAUGUAUGGCUGGGAUCUGAAACCCAUUUGACAAUAGCAAGGAAUUACUUCCAUUCUCUGCAAGAAUCAAGAGGAAAUUAAAAACUUCAACUUGAGAGCUUUUGAAAAUGAUGAAAUCCAGGGGUGGCCAUUAAUUCCUUGAGGCCAGUGAGUAUUAUUUGAUAGGAAUUCACCAGGCCAUCUUCAUGGGUGUAUGAUCUUCAAGCAAUGAAACUCAGACAGUGCUUAAAGAAAACGACAAUUGUGAGACUUUUAGAAAAGUAUUUCACAUUUUGAGAAAUGGAAGCUUAAAUACAAAAUAAAAAACAUUUUGGGCUCAUCGUAAUUCUCCAAAAGUGUCAUGGAUAUGUUUUCACCCGUCAGUAUGAUAAUCAAAGAAGCCUGGAUUUCAGUGAGAUUCUCCAAUGCUUCAGUGGGAAGAAGUGAUUGUGAAAUAUGAUUGAGUUAUGGGUCAUGACAUGGUACAACACGGGCUUCACAAAGAAACGGCCACAUGGAUUGGGAGUGAGGGAAGGAAUAAG